rnacentral:rRNA from 1 species
UACGUAGGGACCAAGCGUUGUUCGGAUUUACUGGGCGUAAAGGGCGCGUAGGCGGCGGGGUAAGUCAGUUGUGAAAUCUCCGAGCUUAACUCGGAACGGCCAACUGAUACUGCUGUGCUAGAGUGCAGAAGGGGCAAUCAGAAUUCUUGGUGUAGCGGUGAAAUGCGUAGAUAUCAAGAGGAAUACCUGAGGUGAAGACGGGUUGCUAGGCUGACACUGACGCUGAGGCGCGAAAGCCAGGGGAGCAAACGGG